AGUGGGAGCCAGGCGGGAAAACUCGCGUGUCGUGUCGUGUCGUGGCUGCCAGCUGUGCAUUGGAGCCUAGGGAUGGGUAAGCAGCUUCAGCCCGUAACAAUCCGAGAACAGCCCUGGAGAAAGUUGAACAAUGUAGGAGGAAAAAUGCAAAUCAAACCCAUAUAAGCAGAACUUGGAAAAGGAGCAAUUGGGAGAAUAAUCCAGUCACAUGAAGGCACAGAUUGUCUGAGGAACAGCAAUGAAAACUAGACAAUGUGCAACAGAAGCAAACAUUCCCACUUUUGAAUUUGAGGAAGGUUUAUCUGGAUGAAGAAUGAAGAUUGUUGUGCUUGGAAUACUGCUCUGAGGAAUAUUUGCUGAGAUGAUAUUCCCUCAAUAAUUGAAUAAUUACUGUUCAAGACACCCUUUUAAUUGCAAAGAAACAGAACAGAAUCAAUGAAAACCUGCGCACAACAAGGCAAUCAGGCAAUGUGCAAAAGACUGUUAAAAUGCAAAAGAAAAUAAAUAAGCAAGCAAGCAAGCAAUAAAUAUCAAGAACAUGAGAUGAAGAGUCCAUGAAAGUGAAUCCAUGGAUUUUGAGAACAGUUCAGUGUUGGGAACAAGAAUAAUCCAUGGAGCUGCUUGAGUACAAGAUCAUGGCUGAUCUGUGACCCAACUGUAUCUACCAGCCUUUGCCCCAGAUCUUCUUACAGAAAUCUAUAGAUCUCAACCUUAAAAUUAAGAUCUAACGCACUGUUAAUUAUGCAGAGUGUGUCUGACACUGAUCCUGAGAGGACGAGCUUUAACUUUGAGACUAAUGCCACCACUCCCUCUUGCUCCGUGCUGUUGGCACUCCACCUACAGGCUAAGAUUCUACCUGUAGGAAGGUGGCAUUCAAUCAGCUGAUUGAAAAGUAUAUAAAGGCCAAACAUUCGGAAGACACACCAAAAUCAACAGCACGCUGACAAUGUCUUCUUGCGUGGUGGCGAAAUUGUCAAUUUCAGAGGACAACUCAACCCAACCAUACCCACUAGUGUAUUAGAUUCCAGGGAAUGGAGUUCCAUUAGGUUUAAUAUCAUAUUGGAAUCCUUGAUACAACUUCCACCUUCUGCCAGAGCAGAGAAUUCCAGAGGUACAUCACUUGCUGUGAGAAGAAAUUUCUACAUAUCUGAGUUGUAAUUGACCAGCCCCAUUACGUUAUAUCUCCUUGUUCGAGACUCUGUCAUAGAACUAAUGCCAAAGGAGGCAUACUGUGCCUCUUUCAGCUCCAUCGUUUAGCUUCCUCUGUUUUCCCAAUAGACUUUUUUCUAUCCAAAUACACCUAAUAAGAUCAGUAAUCAGAAACUCAUUCCAGUUGGGAGCCCAAUAUCGUCUUGUACCCUGCCUUAAAAUUCAUGAAACAAACUGAUAAGGAAUGAAGUUUAGACAUAAAUACUUUAUUACUAUAUUUGUGUUAUAGUGACUACAAAAUCCUUAUCUCCUCACCAACAUUUUACAGGAAGCAAAAUAAAAUCACAUCAUAACAGGGUCACAAUUUCACUUACUUCCAUUAUUGGGAUCCUGUCUAGAAUUUCCCCUUCUGAUUUCAUCUCUAUAUAUUUUAAUCAGUUCUUACCGGAGAUCCAGGUUCUCCUCUCCGGCCAGGAAUAACAUCACUUCCUCCUAGAACAUACCCCGGUUCUCCCUGUAACAAGACAAUUGUCAAUGAGGAUAGCUUACUAGACACUAAGUCUAGAUUUACUUGAUUAAUGUAGU